rnacentral:rRNA from 1 species
UACGAAGGGGGCUAGCGUUGUUCGGAAUUACUGGGCGUAAAGCGCACGUAGGCGGAUAUUUAAGUCAGGGGUGUAAUCCCGGGGCUCAACCCCGGAACUGCCUUUGAUACUGGGUAUCUAGAGUCCGGAAGAGGUGAGUGGAAUUCCGAGUGUAGAGGUGAAAUUCGUAGAUAUUCGGAGGAACACCAGUGGCGAAGGCGGCUCACUGGUCCGGUACUGACGCUGAGGUGCGAAAGCGUGGGGAGCAAACAGG